rnacentral:SRP_RNA from 1 species
GCCAGGCAUGGUGGUGCAUGCCUGUAAUCCCAGCUACUCAGGAGGCUGAGGCAGGAGAAUCGCUUGAACCCAGGAGGUGGAGGUUGCAGUGAGCUGAGAUCAUGCCAUUGAACUCCAGCCUGGGUGACAGAGCAAGACUCCGUCUCAA